rnacentral:rRNA from 1 species
UACGUAGGGGGCUAGCGUUGUCCGGAAUCAUUGGGCGUAAAGCGCGCGUAGGCGGCCAGAUAAGUCCGGUGUGAAAGUCACAGGCUCAACCUGUGAAUGCCGCUGGAAACUGUCUGGCUAGAGUCCGGUAGGGGAGACUGGAAUUCCUGGUGUAGCGGUGAAAUGCGCAGAUAUCAGGAGGAACACCGGUGGCGAAGGCGGGUCUCUGGGCCGAUACUGACGCUGAGGAGCGAAAGCGUGGGGAGCGAACAGG